rnacentral:rRNA from 1 species
GAUGAACGCUGGCGGCGUGCUUAACACAUGCAAGUCGAACGAAGCACUUUAUUUGAUUUCCUUCGGGACUGAUUAUUUUGUGACUGAGUGACGGACGGGUGAGUAACGCGUGGGUAACCUGCCUUGUACAGGGGGAUAACAGUUGGAAACGGCUGCUAAUACCGCAUAAGCGCCCAGCAUCGCAUGAUGCAGUGUGGAAAACUCCGGUGGUAUAAGAUGGACCCGCGUUGGAUUAGCUAGUUGGUGAGGUAACGGCCCACCAAGGCGACGAUCCAUAGCCGAGCUGAGAGGGUGACCGGCCACAUUGGGAGUGAGACACGGCCCAAACUCCUACGGGAGGCAGCAGUGGGGAAUAUUGCACAAUGGGCGAAAGCCUGAUGCAGCGACGCCGCGUGAGCGAAGAAGUAUUUCGGUAUGUAAAGCUCUAUAAGCAGGGAAGAUAAUGACGGUACCUGAAGAAGAAGCACCGGCUAAAUACGUG